rnacentral:rRNA from 1 species
UUUUGUUAAGAAAAUUUAUUUAAUUGUUUCUUACUUUUGUUAAAUGUGGGUAGAUAUUUUAAGUAAAAUAUUGUAUUUUGUAUAAAUAAGUAAAAUAGUGAAAGUUUAUUAAAGGUUAUAGUUUAGUUUGUACUGUACAGGAUAUUUAAUUUAAUUAAUUUAAAGAAGAAAUUAAUUUUUGUACCUUUUGUAUCAGGGAUAAUCAAAAUAUUCAUUUUAUUAAUUGAAAUCUCGAAGUAAAGCGAGCGAGUAAACUAUUAUUGUUUAUGUGGAAAAAUGAAAUUAUAAAUAGUUUACUAGUGAUGAAAUGUUAGUCGAGCUUUAUAUAUCUAGUUUUUCUCGAGAAAAGUUUAAUUUAAUCCUUUAUUUUAAUAAAAUAAAGGUUGUAUUUUAAGGGGGAAGAGCUUCUUAAAAGUUUGAGAGUAUAGCAGAUAAAAUCUUUUUUCUUUUAACUAGGCUUAAGAUCAGCCAAGUUUUUAAAUCGUUCUAGAUAAUAAGAAUUUAAUAAUUUAUUUAUAUUUUGCUUACUUAUAAAUAGAGAAAAAUUAAUUUUAAUUUAGUUUUUUAUAUUAUAAUGAUUAUAUUAGUAGAUUUGUUUUGUAUGUAAGUUAUUUAAAUUUAUCCUUAAAUUUUUAUAAUUAAGUAGUGUAGCUAAAAUUAAAGAACUCGGCAAAUUUUACUUCUGCCUGUUUAUCAAAAACAUGUCUGCAUGAUUUAGUUAAUGUNCAGUCUGGCCUGCCCCCUGA